CAACUACACCUAUCACUCGCGGCUUUUAGUGACUGUACCAUAAAAGAGACUAUACAUUCUUGAAUAGUACGCAGAAAAUGGCGAGACGAUUCGAGGUCGUUAAAUAUCAGCACACAGAAGCUUAUUGAGAUCCAACAAUUAUGCAAAGAUUUGUAUACUAUUACUAUGUAUGCGUUAUAUAUCUCUGGCUCGUCCGAUAUUGUCGCGGUAUUUUCCAAGGCUCAAUUUGUAAGAAUGACCGCUGGAACGUCGGGAAACGGUUAGGUCAUAUGUAACCUUUAAGUUCACCGUGUUUAAUAAUCGGUCAGUAUCAAUCUUGAAGACAACCGAUAGCAAAAAAAUAUUGCGCAAACCUGACAUUCAUCUGCCAGGGUGAUACGCCUAUGUGCACGUUUUUCUUAGUCGAAUUAGUCUCAGAUGUUCGAUUUAUCUCUCAUAAGUUAACAGCAUCGAUACUUUAACGCCUGAUCCGUUUUACCUAGCUUUUUCAGGCGCCAAGUGGUAACUUCCUAUCGAGUACCCACAGCACGACAGAAUCCCUGGCAUUAAACGGCUCAAGCAACUGAUUCAGUAGAUAAUCAAAAAUACUGAACCUAUCGCACAAAUUUUGCAGGCCCCAUAUAUAGAAUAUCAGGCAGCCUGCUUAUCACGUGCCGACAUAUGAUCGUGUGCAUAUAAUUGUCGAUUACUGUAGGAUGAACGGUUGAUGUGACAUAGCUACCGCGUAUCCUGUGACUGUGAUCGGCGGAAACGACUGAUAUUUAGCUAAGGGAACCCCAUUCGAACGUGGCGUCUCCAGUUCAGUAGUUGAUGACUUGAAUGAGAUGCGACGCAAUGACGCGCGGUGUCCGGAAAGCUCCCGGAAGCUGACUGGGCCUUUUGAUGACUUGCAGAUUUUCCGCCGCUAUCUCCACUACGUCGACGAUACAUUAGGUGAGUUGAUCUAUAUAUGCACCUUGCUGACAUGGUACGCCCUUCAUGGAUGUUCAGUUUAGCCCUGGCUGUAGUUUUAAUCGUAUCCAGUUCUCAAUUAAAACUGGUGCGUCGGCCAGAGGUAAAUUCAUGGGGAGAGACAUUUGGCGAUCCUCCAAGAUCAUCAUACUCAUUAAAUACACCUAGAGCAGUUCUUCGGGAGAGAUACUGCUUUCCGAAGGGCUGGCCGGAAGGCAGGAUCGACUGGCACGCAGGUUACAGGUGUCUCGUAGUGGAAUGUCACCCAUUGGACUACGUGUGCCCAUCAGGAGACUCAUUUACCUUUCAUGAACGAUGUAUGGCUUGCGACUUCAUGCGAGACCUCGAAUACGCCGGCUGGAUUGUGCCCCAUUAUGAUUAUGACACUAACGACUACCGUUUUCCUUAGACACAUUGCAUUCAUUGACAGCCUAACAUAAUUAUUAUUUAUGUAUUGUACACUAUAAACCUGCUUGGGGAUAUUAGAUCCUAAGCUAAGAUCAUUUGCAUACAGCUGUUCUCUUGUUUGAGGAGAGGGAGCUUAGAAGUUACAGAUGGCCAGCUCUUGUAGGGUAUUUCGGUAUACAACAUUCUGUAUAUAGUAAAUUGAUUACAGGGAAAGGGACUUCAUGUCGUAGUAAUGACCGACCCAACCCAGUUCCUUUUGGCUUUAUGAGACAUGCAAUAG